AGCUCUACAUAAAGUGUUGUUAUAGAUCUCAAAACUCUUUCAGAAUGAAAAGAGACCACAUGAUGUAUACAAGGAUGGUACGUUAAUGAGAGAGCAGUGGGGAGAGGGGAAGGGUAAGAGGACGAACACUCUCUGAUGAUCCUCCCUAUUCCAGGUACAGGAAAGGCAAUGUACAUCUCUGUGUUAUGACAUGUUAAUCAUGACAGCAACCCCACGAGGUAAGUAUUAUUACGGCCACUUGACCAGAGAGGAAAUUGAAGCUAAGAAAUUUGGAGAGACUUGGGCAAGAUAAAUCAGUAGGCAGCAAAGCUAUCUCAGGUCUGUCCCAGCUGACCCGUGCUUUUCUUAAGAAUACAUGCUACUUUCUUUUUUAAUUUGACAGACUCAUAGGACAAAAUAUUUGGAAAUGGAUAAAAGCUUUAGGCGUUCAUAAAAAAGGGCGCCAAACCCACUUAAGCUGGGUGGCUGAUGGUGUCCCUGGAGGCAAGUAUAAUAUAGCUUUUGCAUAACUCUUGUUGAUUAUUUAUAGCCUUGGAGUUACAAAGGUGAAAAAUGUGAUUCCUGUCCUCAGAGAACUUACAGGCCAGUGGAGAAACAGAAAUGCAAACAAAUUCAACACGGUAACUGCUACAGUGGUCACACGUUCAGAACAGAGGUGGAUUAUGGUAAAAGAAAUCCCUACCUGGAAGGGGAUUGGAGAAAGAUUCACGGAGGAUAUAAUUUUGACACAGGAUGCUGGCUAAGGACAAACAGGAGUUUGCCAGGCAGAGAGGACAGAGAGGACAGUCUGUGAAAAGGAGGGAGGCUGAAGACAUCUCUGGGAAUUGCAAGGAGUUCAGCAUUGAUGGCUCGUGAAAUUUAGAGAUAAGAGUGGCAGAAAAUAAGUCUCUAGGGGAAACAAGUGCCAGACCUUCCUAAAAGUGUUUAAGUUUCAUUGUUUUUAGAAGGAAAAUAAUAAUUAUGCAGCACUGUGAUGUCACCAAAUAAGAAAUGACGUGAAAGCAUAGAGGUCCAAAGUAAUUAAUAUUUUAACUUUCAUGCCUGCCCAAGAUUGGAGAGGACCUAAAUGUGCACCGAUAGAGGACUUGUUAAAUACAUCUUGUAUACACAUAAAUGAAAAACUAUGCAACUAUUCAAAAAGAAUGAGACAAACCUACAGUGUCCUAGAUCAGGUGCUCUAGAAAGCCAAGCUAACAAUGUAGGGAGAUACAAGCCUCGGAUGGCGAGGGGGAGGCCAGUGUGAAGUAAGUCCAGAGAAGGUUCAUUGCCAUGCAACGUGCUAGCAUGCCCACCACAUCAACGACUGGAAGAGACACAGCGCUUCGCUCAGCAGGUGGGUUACAAGCAGGAGCCAUCUCAGGGUGGACUAUGCAGGAGAGGUAGGAGAAGUCACCUGCUUGGCUCCUCCUGUCUCUUGUUUCCAAUUGGUGGAGCUUCUCACUUCCCAGUUAGGUCCUGACCCUUGGUGGCACCUGGGUCGCUGGGACCUAUGCCUUGUUCUAUGGUGUUUCAUCUGGGUCCCAAAGUGGAGGGGCUACCAGGUGCAGGAGGAGCACUGACCGAGAGAGAGAAAGAGGGAGCCUGUUGAGGGAAUUUUAAAAGGCACGGGAAGAGUUUUCUCCCGAUACAUAUAAUGCUGGGCUAUAAAGUCUGGAAACAUAGACAUUAUUUUAUCACAUAUUAUAUGUUGAUAAGCUAGCUUUUUUUUUUUAAAGAUUUUAUUUAUUUAUUUGAGAGAGAGAGAAUGAGAGACAGAGAGCGUGAGAAGGAGGAGGGUCAGAGGGAGAAGCAGACUCCCCGCUGAGUAGGGAGCCCGAUGUGGGACUCGAUCCUGGGACUCCAGGAUCAUGACCUGAGCCGAAGGCAGUCGCUUAACCAACUGAGCCACCCAGGCGCCCCGAUAAGCUAGCUUUUUUACAAAAAAAUUCCUUAUGUUUUCUUAUGUAGGCACCUUGUGUUUUGGUAUAAAACAAGCUUCAGAAUGUCCUUUAAUUGAAUAAACAAGGUACAGCACAGUACAUACGCUGCCUGCCAACCCUGGGUAGAAUAAAGAAUAUGUGUGUGGGGCAGAAGCUGGCAAAAUAGCUGAAGGAGAUUAAAAGGUAUAAAAUAAAUAAGUCAUGGGGAUACAACGUACAGCAUAGGGAAUAUAGUCAAUAAUAUUGUACUAGUGUUGUAUGGUGACCACACUUAUCUUGGUGAGCAGUUCACAAUGGAUACACAUGUUGGAUCACCAGCUGGUACACCCGAAACUCACAGAAUAUUGUAUGCAGCUAUGCUUUGCUAAAAAUUAAAAAAAAAAAGUAUGUAUGCUUAUUUCUGCAUAGAAUUCUUCUGGAAGGAGAUCCAAGAAGCCACCAGCAGUGUUUGUCUUUGGGAGGAGGAAUUAGGUGGGAGGGGGGUUGAGUAAGAGGAAAUUCACUUUUCACCAUAUCUCUUUUUGUGCUUUUCUAAGUCUGCACCCUGUCAGACUAUAAUUUAUUCGUCUGAAAACUUACAUUACACUGAGAAACCCAUUUUUAAUGUUAGUGUCAGGGUGGCUGGUAAAACAGGCGGCAAAGAAUUACACCAAGAGUAGAACCACCAGCAGGACAGAGUUUAUUUAGUCUCUGAGGCUGGAGAGGGACCCAACACCGAGAGAGACGUCGCCCCCCAGUUUCCGUUAGGCUGGGCCUUCUAAGGGGUUUUCAGGGUGUGAGAGGGCUGCAGCUGUGGCGAGGGGGCCAACUCUUGGCCAGGUGGAGCGGGAGGUGACACUUUCUCCAGGGGCUCUGUCCGGGAGGUGGGUUGUGGUCCCGCUAGAGAAUACCUUUUGUCGUUGUGGUCUACUUUCUGAGAAUGAGGGGCACCAUGACCUGGAAAAGCAAAGAGUUAGGGCCAAGCACAGACACCUGUGGGUUUAGUCUGUAAGCUUGCCUGGGGAGGGGACCUUUUUUCCCCCUUUCAGUUAGGAAGAUCCCACUGGCAGUAGUAAAGAGGAUUUUUGAAGGAGAUCAUUUAACUCAGCAAAUAUGUAGGAGCAUCAGGAUACCAGGGCGGAAAGGGAAGGAAACAUGGCAGACCUGGCCCUGCCUGACAGAGUUUGUAACUGAGAGAGAGGACAGGUAGACAAGUGUAAAGGCAGCGCUGUGGGCUCUGGAACCCUCAGCAAGUGAGGACAACAGAUCCUCGCUCUGAGUACACAAUCCCAGUGCUGAAGAAGUGAUUUUGUGGUAAAACCCCUACAUGGGCCGCGCUCAGUCUCUCGUGUUUCCUCCCUAUGGUCCCUGUGCUGUACUUUUCAUCCCCGUGACUUAUUUAUGUUACAACUGGAAGUUUGUACCUUUUACUCCCCUUCACCUAUUUUGCCCAUCCCCCAACUCUUCCUCUCUAGCAACCACCAGCUUGUUCUCUGUCUUGGUGAGUCUGUUUCUGCUUUUGUUGCUGUUGUGUAUUUGUUCCUUCGUUUGGUUUUUUUUAGGUUCCACAUAUGAGUGGAAUCAUAUGGUAUUUGUCUUACUCUGGAUGACUUACUUCACUUAGCGUCAUACUCUCUAGGUCUAUCCAUGUUGUUGCAAAUGGCAAGAUCUCAUUCUCUUUUAUGGCCAUUUGUGUGUGUGUGUGUGUGUGUGUGAGAGAGAGAGAGUUAUAUAAUCAUAGUUACAUAUAAUAUAUAUAUAUAUAAUAUAUAAAUUAGUUUCUCAUUUUUAAAUUGUUGAUGUUGAGCCAGAAAAGAGGUACACAAACUUUUUCUGUAAGGGGGAAGUGAUAAAUAUUUUAGGCUUUGCAAGCUGGACUGUCUCUGUCCCAGCUCCUCAAGUCUGUUGAGGAGGUACGCGGCAGCCUUACCAAUAUCUACGCAAACGAGCAACGCUUGGUCUAAUUAAACUACUGGGAGCCUUGCAAGUCUAUUGGAGGCUCCAAGAGGACUUGGAAUAUCAUACAAUUUUUAGGUGUCGUGAAAUAUUAUCCUUCCUUUGAUUUUUCCCGAAGCCUUUAGAAAUGCACAACCUCUUGUCGGCUUGUAGGCUGUACCAAAAUGGGCAGAGGGUCCUAUUUUGCCUGCAGGCUGUGGUAGGCUCACCCCUAAGUUAAAAUUCUAACUCCGUCCACGUAAAAUAUCGAUACGUCUCCAAACAGCAGUGCAGGUGCUGCUGGACCACGCAAUCGUUGUGGUUCUGUGGCUGGUUGCUUGAUUUGCAUUUCAUUUUGGUUUAACUUUGGGUUUGUUCCCCUUACUUCGGCAUGCUUAUUCUUGCUGCAUCGUGUGCUGAUUUGAAAUGGAGUCCUGCACUGCCAAGAAGGUCACAAAAGAAGAUUUAAUUCCCCUGUGACUGCCGGUUAUUUCAUUUCUGGACAUUAGAGGCGCUUUUAUGAGCUCCACACCAUAUGCCAUAUGGAAUAUCAUUAUGAGCUCCCUAGAGCUUCUGUUAUGGCCAUCUGUCUGUGACUUCCUGUGUGGUUUCUUUGGCAGAUGGGGACUCAUCUAUCAGAAAUGCUUCUGUAAAGUAAGUUUUCAAAGCUCAAUUCUAAACAUCUGCCUCUGGAGUUAGAUGUAUAUUUUCAAGGCUUAGACGUUGGAAGCACAUUCAUAAUGAUCGCUAUUGUGAAGGCCCAGUUGCCAAUCAGAAGAGUGUAUUGUAGUCCAUCACCAGGGUGACACCUGGACACAAGCGCGGCCAACCCUGCAAAAUCCUCCCCAAGGAAAGCUCUAGAGUCUCCCAUUUGGAGGACUCUGACUUGUUAGUCAGAACCUUGGCGUUCUGCCUGCACUAGGCCUCUGCUCUCAAACACACCCAGAAUUUUCCAUCCUAGUGGUAGGAAUUAUAUUUGUCAUCAUAUUGUGUAUUUUGUUUUUGUGUCCCCAGUAUCGAAUACGACACCUAACACUUAGUAGGAGUUCAGUGAAUUUUUGUUAACCUGAACUGAGAUGUUGAAUUAUCCCCCGUGAGCUUCUAGAUCAUCUCUCUCUGCAGUAUCAAUGACAGGACUUUCACUCAACAUGACAUUGGUGAUCAGUGGUAAAGGAACUGUUUGUCUUCCAUCUCCUUUGUUCUGCCCCGGGUGAGGUCUUUCACUGCCCACACUGCUGACCUCCACCUGAUCCUGUUGCCCCAUAUUUGGUGCCAUGCCAGGCUAGGACUCUCCCCCAGAUUCUCCAGAAGUUUCUCAGCACUUGCCCUCGGUGGACCAACCAUAGUACUCCUUGGGGAACUGAUGACCUCCUGCCAAGAUUACUCCUCAGUGAGGAUCCAAAGUCCCAGGGGGGAACCAACCAGACCGUCCUGCCCCAAAAGGGUGGGGAUUACCCUUUGGAGGGAUUCUCCCCUCCCUUUCUUUUCUCUUUUUAGCCCUCGGGUGGUCUGACCCUGUACUUCCCAGACAACUGAAGAUCUCGGGCCAGGGCAGCUGCCUGGUGUGGUCUGAAGGUCUGAGGAUGAACAUGACCACUGCCCAAAUGCCAAAGAUUUGUCAUUGUCGAGCUGUCAGUGGGGAAUGUAGAGGCUACUUUAAGGCAAUAGGCUUGAGCAAUGGAAACCCGAGGAAGGGAAAAGGGCCCACAGUGACCACAGGGCUGAAAGCAAACAGCCUCAUUAAGCAACCCACCUGGAGAUAGCCAUAGGCCCUACCUGCCCAAUGGGCUGCUUACAACCAGGCACAGGUACCAAAAAAGGAAAAUUCCAUAUGUUCCCAUACCUCUUCACUCCCCCCAUAACUAUAGCCCCUCACUACCUCUUGUGGCAGAGUCUCUUUCUUCUUUGCUGUCUUGCCCACUCUUCCCUUGCUGUAUAGUCAAUAAACUCCUAUCUCCUUAAAAAAAAAAAAAAAAAAAGAAUUGUUUGUUAUGUUGUCUUGGUGGCUGAUUAUGAAUGUAUAUAAAGUUCAUAUUUAUUUUGUGAAGAUGAGUGAGAUACUCAGAAUAAAGCAUUUUCAGAUCUUCACAUAAAUGCAUAGAAUAGAUCACCCAGGAUCGCAAGAUGUGGAUGGAUGAAAGUAUCUUGACCUCUGAGUAAGAAGAUCUUGACUUAAAUACCAGCUCUUUACAAGCUCUAAAAAAACAAAACAAAACAAAACAAAAAACCACUUACUAUCUUGGAUCUAUUUUGGUCUCUGAAACAAAGAAUAAUCCCUGCCCUCUCUUCCACCUUGCAACCUAGAAGUGAUGUAAGAAUUGAACAAGAUAGUGUAAAUGACUAAAGUUUACAAAAUGAAAAUUUGCAAUGCAAAUAUAGGAUUUGUUCAUUCAUAUGCACAUUUAUGGCCCCCUAAGGACAAAGCACUGGGGAAUACAGAUGUGAAAACAAAUAAUUUUUAAAGGCAGACAAAUGAGUUGGCACACAGGGAGGUAGCAGGAACGGUCCUCAACUUGAACGGGCUUAAGAAUCAGGUGGAAGGUAUGUUAAACAUGCAGAUUCCUGUGCCCCACUAGAGAGAUUCUGGUGUGAAAGAUCUGGGCUUGGGUACAGUAUUCUAUGGAUUUAACAAACUCCCCAGGAGAUUCUGAUGUGGGUGGUCCAUGGACCAGGCUUUGAGAAUACCAACUUAGGAUUUAGCAGGGAAGAUAGAAAAAAAAAAUCACUAACAACUUUCUUAUUAAUUUUAGGACCCCAAAAUAGGCCUGCAAUAUUUUGUUAAAAUGGUGUUCACGGCCGGUGAAGAAGUGAGAAACAAGUGAGAUGAUGAGAUCAAGGGUACAACAAUGAUGGUGAUUGACCAAAGUCAGCCCUUGAAUGCACCUCUGCCCUUCAUUACUCUACAUGACCACUCACGCCUUCUCUGCUCUCCUCAGACCUCCAAUCGCCCUUUGCUCUGGACUCACUAGCUGGACCUUGCUCUCUGGAAUUUAUGCAUCUUGCGCAUCCCUGGUUUAUACCAAUAGCUAGUCAGCUCUUAAAGGGCAUUCCUGUUGUGGUUUAUUAGAAGAUUCAAUACCUUCAAAGACUUAGGUCUUUCCCUCUCUGCCUACUGUACUCAGUGUGGGUAGAGAAUAAUGGGAAUGUGGACAAGGUCACAGUCCCCUCAGCACUCCUGGCUCUGCUUGGCUUGUUUUCAAGUGACUUACUGAUGUUUACCCAGAAGAAUCAGAAGAUUGAGUGGGUGAGUCUGGACGAAUCAUCACCACACCAGAGGAGAACUCAGCCCUAUGUAAGCAGCACCUAUCAUCAGGAGAUAAUUUGGUGGUAGGGAAUCUAGAAAUCAAUGGGAACUUCUCCCCUUAGCUUUGUUUUUUGUGUGUGUGUUCUCUUGGCAUUCAUCGAUUUUGCCUCUCAGCUUGUGAAGUACUUGCACUUUGAGCCUUCCUUUUUUAUUUGUGAUUUUUAUGACAAUUAUAAUUGAGCUUCAUGAAAUCUCCUCUAGUCCUGUAGGCUUUUGGACAUAGUCUCUCUGUUUGAGGUUAGGUCCAGAAGCUUCUUCCACAUACAUUUUUUACUUUAGGAGUUGUUUUGGAAUUUCUCUGGAAACCACACACUGAGUCAGAACGAAACCUUUUUAGAACAUCUCCCUAAACUGAAUACCUUAGCAGAAUGGAUCCAUCCAAGGAGCGUGCUUGAGGAAAAAGGUCUGAAUGCCGUCUAGCUAAAUAUAGGGAUUUGUCCUGCUGAGUGGACUGUGCAAGCUGAGGACAAAACCUGACGUGUUUGGGGAUUUUUAGACGCUGUUAUAUUGGAGCGGAAGUAGAGGCUUGGGGGCAGUGAAAAUAGAGAAGAGACCCAGCUGGGAGGACACAGAAAGAAGAAUCUGGAGAGGAAGUAGUGAAUGGAGAAGCAUGGUUAAGCUUAGCUGCAAAGUGUGAUGUAACCUUCCUAGACUCCCCAUAAAAUCUAGAAAAUUGAUAUUAUAGUUAGAUCUUUUUUGCCAAAUAACCUUUUUAUUUUAGAUCAGUUUUAGAUUUACAGACAAGAUGUGAAAACAGUACAGAGAGCUGGCAUAUACCUAUCCCACACCCAGUUUCCCUGUUACUAAUAUCUUACAUUAGUAUAGGGCCCUUUUCACUAUUAAUGAACCAACAUCAGUAUUUUAUUAUUAACUAAAGUCCAUGCUUUAUUUAGACUUCCUUGGUUUUUUUACCUGAUGUCCUUAAAUUUUUUUUUUUUUUUC